UAGGGAAUAUUGCAAAAUGGGCGAAAGCCCGAUGCAGCAACGCCGCGUGGGCGAUGAAGGCCUUCGGGUCGUAAAGCCCUUUUUGAGGGGACGAGGAAGGACAGUACCCUCAGAAUAAGCCUCGGCUAACUACGUGCCAGCAGCCGCGGUAAAACGUAGGAGGCGAGCGUUAUCCGGAUUUACUGGGCGUAAAGCGCGUGCAGGCGGAUUGGAGAGUUGGAUGUGAAAGCUCCCGGCUUAACUGGGAGAGGUCGUUCAAUACUUCCAGUCUUGAGUGCAGUAGAGGGUAGUGGAAUUCCGGGUGUAGUGGUGAAAUGCGUAGAUAUCCGGAGGAACACCAGUGGCGAAAGCGGCUUCCUGGACUGUAACUGACGCUCAGACGCGAAAGCUAGGGUAGCAAGCG
rnacentral:rRNA from 1 species